UCGCGGAAGAGCGGCGGAACCCGCUGGCUGCCCCUCGGCCGGCGGCGCGCGUGCCUGGGCUCCGAAGGUGGGGAGCGCGCGUGGUGGGGGCGUACUUUCUGCCCCCGCGCCGGGGUGUGGUGGCGGAUAGGCCCGCCUGGAGGAGUCGUGCAGCCCCAGGGCGUUCUGCCAGCUCGGCCUGUGACUAGACACACCUGGGCUCGGGAGCCCUUCAUCUCAACCUCACCAAAAGCUAAAGAUCAAAUGCGUUCACACCGGCGAGGCUGCAUCAUUGGUUGGGGCGUCAUCCUGAUACGCAAAGGUUGCGGUUAGAUCCUGUCCGAGCACACACAGGAAGCAACCAAUCAACCGAUGAAUGGAUAAAGUGAAACAUCAAAUUGAUGGGGUGCUUUCUUGUGGGUUACGGCUGCGAUUCCAACGGAAGCGGGACCUUGGGAACUCCAAGGAAAGUCCCGUCUGAGCGUGGCUGCAAACGGGGAGGCCUGAAGGGAUGGCACACUGUACCAAUUCAUAAGCUAUUUCCUGUCAUACGUUCGAUCUUUAAAGCCUACCAAUAAAGUCCAGCCUCCAGGCUUAUCGCUCUAAACCUGCUUAGCUAACCCUUGACCUGUAGCACCACUGGGAAGUAGCGAAGAAGGGGGACGAAUAAAAUGAAGGAGGACCUUCUGUGCUAUGGAGUUAUUAUGCUUAUUUUACAGUCACGUCUAAUAGGUUUUAUAGUUCCAUAAUCGCAGG